GAGUUUGAUCAUGGCUCAGAUUGAACGCUGGCGGCAGGCCUAACACAUGCAAGUCGAGCGGAUGACGGGAGCUUGCUCCUUGAUUCAGCGGCGGACGGGUGAGUAAUGCCUAGGAAUCUGCCUGGUAGUGGGGGACAACGUUUCGAAAGGAACGCUAAUACCGCAUACGUCCUACGGGAGAAAGCAGGGGACCUUCGGGCCUUGCGCUAUCAGAUGAGCCUAGGUCGGAUUAGCUAGUUGGUGGGGUAAUGGCUCACCAAGGCGACGAUCCGUAACUGGUCUGAGAGGAUGAUCAGUCACACUGGAACUGAGACACGGUCCAGACUCCUACGGGGGGCAGCAGUGGGGAAUUUGGACAAUGGGGCAACCCUGAUCCAGCCAUGCCGCGUGAGUGAAGAAGGCCUCGGUUGUAA
rnacentral:rRNA from 1 species